GAUGAACGCUGGCGGCGUGCCUAAUACAUGCAAGUCGAGCGAACAGACGAGGAGCUUGCUCCUCUGACGUUAGCGGCGGACGGGUGAGUAACACGUGGAUAACCUACCUAUAAGACUGGGAUAACUUCGGGAAACCGGAGCAAAUACCGGAUAAUAUAUUGAACCGCAUGGUUCAAUAGUGAAAGACGGUUUUGCUGUCACUUAUAGAUGGAUCCGCGCCGCAUUAGCUAGUUGGUAAGGUAACGGCUUACCAAGGCAACGAUGCGUAGCCGACCUGAGAGGGUGAUCGGCCACCCUGGAACUGAGACACGGUCCAUACUCCUACGGGAGGCAGCAGUAGGGAAUCUUCCGCAAUGGGCGAAAGCCUGACGGAGCAACGCCGCGUGAGUGAUGAAGGUCUUCGGAUCGUAAAACUCUGUUAUUAGGGAAGAACAAAUGUGUAAGUAACUAUGCACGUCUUGACGGUACCUAAUCAGAAAGCCCCGGCUAACUACGUG
rnacentral:rRNA from 1 species